rnacentral:rRNA from 1 species
AGUAACGCGUGAGGAACCUGCCUCAAAGAGGGGGACAACAGUUGGAAACGACUGCUAAUACCGCAUAAGCCCACGGCUCGGCAUCGAGCAGAGGGAAAAGGAGUGAUCCGCUUUGAGAUGGCCUCGCGUCCGAUCAGCUGGUUGGUGAGGUAACGGCCCACCAAGGCGACGAUCGGUAGCCGGACUGAGAGGUUGAACGGCCACAUUGGGACUGAGACACGGCCCAG